AAAGGAGAGACCCAAGCGCCGCCGGUCGCGUGUCAGGUGAACUGAACUUCAGCAGGCUGGAAACUGGAUUCAUUAUCAGAGGAGUUAAGGAGCCACUGCGGGGAAACUAUCUCUACGACCCGGAUAGCUUGGUUCAUUCAGCAGUGUCACCUGCAAUCCUUGCUACAGUUCUCCUCCGUGAUCCCGUCCUCGUCUUCACCCCAGAUGUCCACAGCAGAGAAAAUCAAGGCCACCAAUACAGCAAAGCAGCACACCAAGGCAA